GCCCGUGUGGAUCAAUCGGACCGCACACUGGACUCUCAAUCCAGAGGUUGCCGGUUCGAAUCCCGCGGCGGGUG
rfam:Culex pipiens quinquefasciatus supercont3.98 genomic scaffold, whole genome shotgun sequence.